rnacentral:rRNA from 1 species
AUUGAACGCUGGCGGCAUGCUUUACACAUGCAAGUCGUACGGUAACAGGCCGCAAGGUGCUGACGAGUGGCGAACGGGUGAGUAAUGCAUCGGAACGUGCCCAGUCGUGGGGGAUAACGCAGCGAAAGCUGCGCUAAUACCGCAUACGAUCUGUGGAUGAAAGCGGGGGACCUUCGGGCCUCGCGCGAUUGGAGCUGCCGAUGUCAGAUUAGGUAGGUGGUUGGGUAAAGGCUCACCAAGCCGACGAUCUGUAGCUGGUCUGAGAGGACGAACAGCCACACUGGGACUGAGACACGGCCCAGACUCCUACGGGAGGCAGCAGUGGGGAAUUUUGGACAAUGGGGGCAACCCUGAUCCAGCAAUGCCGCGUGCAGGAAGAAGGCCUUCGGGUUGUAAACUGCUUUUGUACGGAACGAAAAGGCUCUGGUUAAUACCUGGGGCACAUGACGGUACCGUAAGAAUAAGCACCGGCUAACUACGUGCCAGCCGCCGCUGUAAUAC